rnacentral:rRNA from 1 species
CCUACGGGGGGCUGCAGUGGGGAAUAUUGGACAAUGGGCGAAAGCCUGAUCCAGCCAUGCCGCGUGUGUGAAGAAGGCCUUCGGGUUGUAAAGCACUUUCAGUGGGGAAGAAAGCCUUGGGGCUAAUACCCUCGAGGAAGGACAUCACCCACAGAAGAAGCACCGGCUAACUCCGUGCCAGCAGCCGCGGUAAUACGGAGGGUGCGAGCGUUAAUCGGAAUUACUGGGCGUAAAGCGCGCGUAGGCGGUCUGAUAAGCCGGUUGUGAAAGCCCCGGGCUCAACCUGGGAACGGCAUCCGGAACUGUCAGGCUAGAGUGCAGGAGAGGAAGGUAGAAUUCCCGGUGUAGCGGUGAAAUGCGUAGAGAUCGGGAGGAAUACCAGUGGCGAAGGCGGCCUUCUGGACUGACACUGACGCUGAGGUGCGAAAGCGUGGGUAGCAAACAGGAUUAGAUACCCCUGGUAGUC